rnacentral:rRNA from 1 species
CCUACGGGAGGCAGCAGUGAGGAAUAUUGGUCAAUGGACGAGAGUCUGAACCAGCCAAGUAGCGUGAAGGAUGACUGCCCUAUGGGUUGUAAACUUCUUUUAUAAAGGAAUAAAACGAGGCACGUGUGCCUUUUUGCAUGUACUUUAUGAAUAAGGAUCGGCUAACUCCGUGCCAGCAGCCGCGGUAAUACGGAGGAUCCGAGAGUUAUCCGGAUUUAUUGGGUUUAAAGGGAGCGUAGAUGGGUUGUUAAGUCAGUUGUGAAAGUUUGCGGCUCAACCGUAAAAUUGCAAUUGAUACUGGCAGUCUAGAGUACAGUUGAGGUAGGCGGAAUUCGUGGUGUAGCGGUGAAAUGCUUAGAUAUCACGAAGAACCCCGAUUGCGAAGGCAGCUUACUAAGCUGUGACUGACAUUGAUGCUCGAAAGUGUGGGUAUCAAACAGGAUUAGAUACCCGAGUAGUC